rnacentral:rRNA from 1 species
AUUGAACGCUGGCGGCAGGCCUAACACAUGCAAGUCGAGCGGAUGAGUGGAGCUUGCUCCAUGAUUCAGCGGCGGACGGGUAAGUAAUGCCUAGGAAUCUGCCUGGUAGUGGGGGACAACGUUUCGAAAGGAACGCUAUUACCGCAUACGUCCUACGGGAGAAAGUGGGGGAUCUUCGGACCUCACGCUAUCGGAUGAGCCUAGGUCGGAUUAGCUAGUUGGUGAGGUAAAGGCUCACCAAGGCGACGAUCCGUAACUGGUCUGAGAGGAUGAUCAGUCACACUGGAACUGAGGCACGGUCCAGACUCCUACGGGAGGCAGCAGUGGGGAAUAUUGGACAAUGGGCGAAAGCCUGAUCCAGCCAUGCCGCGUGUGUGAAGAAGGUCUUCGGAUUGUAAAGCACUUUAAGUUGGGAGGAAGGGCAGUAAGUUAAUACCUUGCUGUUUUGACGUUACCAACAGAAUAAGCACCGGCUAACUUCGUGCCAGCCGCCGCGGUAAGAC